UCCCCCAUGGCGCAAUUGGCUAGCGCGUUCGACUGUUACUCGUUUGGUGAGAAAUGGAAUCGGGAGGUUGAUAGGUAAGAAUACCUCAUUACACAUACAGCUGAUUGUAUUCACCACUAACACCGCCUUUCAGUUCGAGCCUAUCUGGGGGAG